rnacentral:rRNA from 1 species
CCUACGGUAGGCAGCAGUGAGGAAUAUUGGUCAAUGGGCUUACGCCUGAACCAGCCCAGUCGCGUGAGGGAAGACUGCCCUAUGGGUUGUAAACCUCUUUUGUCAGGGAGCAAAGCCGGCUACGUGUAGCCGGACUGAGAGUACCUAACGAAAAAGCAUCGGCUAACUCGGUGCCAGCAGCAGCGGUAAUACUGAUUAUGCGAGCUUUAUCCGGAUUUAUUGGGUUUAAAGGUCGCGUAGGCGGAAUGCCAAGUCAGCGGUAAAAGCGCGUGGCUCAACUUCGCUCCGCCGUUGAACCUGGCGUGCUUGAGUGGGCGAGGAGUAUGCGGAAUGCGUGGUGUAGCGGUGAAAUGCAGAGAUAUCACGCAGAACUCCGAUUGCGAAGGCAGCAUACCGGCGCCCAACGGACGCUGAAGCACGAAAGCGUGGGUAUCGAACAGGAUUAGAUACCCUGGUAGUC